rnacentral:rRNA from 1 species
AUUGAACGCUGGCGGCAGGCCUAACACAUGCAAGUCGAGCGAGCGGCGGACGGGUGAGUAAUGUAUGGGGACUGCCCGAUAGAGGGGGAUAACUACUGGAAACGGUGGCUAAUACCGCAUACUAUCGGAUAACCCAUAUGGGAUUAGCUAGUAGGUGGGGGAAAGGCUCACCUAGGCGACGAUCUCUAGCGGGUCUGGGAGGAUGAUCAUCCACACGUGGAGUGAGACACGGCCCAGCCUCCGACGGAGGCAGCAGUGGGGAAUAUUGCCCAAUGGGCGCAAGCCUGAUGCAGCCAUGCCGCGUGUAUGAAGAAGGCCUUAGGGUUGUAAAGUACUUUCAGCGGGGAGGCGUUACCCGCAGAAUAAGCACCGGCUAACUCCGUGCCAGCCGCCGCGGUAAUU